CGGAUACAUAAAACAUAAUAUAGGAUGUUACAGGAUAAUGGACAUUUAACAGCAGAUGGUAAUUGCUGUACUUCUGAUGGGAGAGUUACAUCGUUGUACAGAGCCAAGCCAAGAGUGAGACUAGACUGAGCGCGACCUCGUGUCCCUCUGUUACUAUAUAGAAGUGCUAAUAGUAACGUCAGCAUAUAACUCUAGCCAUAUAAGGACAAAACCCCCACAUCCACAUUCCAGAGCUCUCGGACAAAGAAAGCC
rnacentral:lncRNA from 1 species